GACGAACGCUGGCGGCGUGCCUAAUACAUGCAAGUUGAGCGCUGAAGGUUGGUACUUGUACCAACUGGAUGAGCAGCGCACGGGUGAGUAACGCGUGGGGAAUCUGCCUUUGAGCGGGGGACAACAUUUGGAAACGAAUGCUAAUACCGCAUAAAAACUUUAAACACAAGUUUUAAGUUUGAAAGAUGCAAUUGCAUCACUCAAAGAUGAUCCCGCGUUGUAUUAGUUAGUUGGUGAGGUAAAGGCUCACCAAGGCGAUGAUACAUAGCCGACCUGAGAGGGUGAUCGGCCACAUUGGGACUGAGACACGGCCCAAACUCCUACGGGAGGCAGCAGUAGGGAAUCUUCGGCAAUGGACGAAAGUCUGACCGAGCAACGCCGCGUGAGUGAAGAAGGUUUUCGGAUCGUAAAACUCUGUUGGUAGAGAAGAACGUUGGUGAGAGUGGAAAGCUCAUCAAGUGACGGUAACUACCCAGAAAGGGACGGCUAACUACGUG
rnacentral:rRNA from 1 species